AUACGGAGGGUCCAAGAGUUAUCCGGAAUCAUUGGGUUUAAAGGGUCCGCAGGCGGUCAAUUAAGUCAGAGGUGAAAGCCCAUCGCUCAACGAUGGAACUGCCUUUGAUACUGGUUGACUUGAGUUAUACGGAAGUAGAUAGAAUAAGUAGUGUAGCGGUGAAAUGCAUAGAUAUUACUUAGAAUACCGAUUGCGAAGGCAGUCUACUACGUAUAUACUGACGCUGAGGGACGAAAGCGUGGGGAGCGAACAGGAUUAGAUACCCUAGUAGUCC
rnacentral:rRNA from 1 species